GUGUUGUAUGAAAGGAGAGAUGAUCAGCACUGCCUGACAGAAGAAUAGAAGAGACCCUCGGCCCAUAGGAUGCAUAUGGUUAAGGCAUUGUCACCUUCUUAGUGCCAUCUAACAAUGAUUUCUC
ensembl:snRNA